GAUGAACGCUGGCGGCAGGCCUAACACAUGCAAGUCGAGCGGUAGCACAGGGAGCUUGCUCCUGGGUGACGAGCGGCGGACGGGUGAGUAAUGUCUGGGAAACUGCCUGAUGGAGGGGGAUAACUACUGGAAACGGUAGCUAAUACCGCAUAACGUCGCAAGACCAAAGAGGGGGACCUUCGGGCCUCUUGCCAUCAGAUGUGCCCAGAUGGGAUUAGCUAGGAGGUGGGGUAACGGCGUACGUAGCCGACGAUCUCUAGCUGGUCUGAGAGGAUGACCAGCCACACUGGAACUGAGACACGGGCCAGAGUCCUACGGGAGGCAGCAGUGGGGAAUAUUGCACAAUGGGCGCAAGCCUGAUGCAGCCAUGCCGCGUGUAUGAAGAAGGCCUUCGGGUUGUAAAGUACUUUCAGCGGGGAGGAAGGCGAUAAGGUUAAUAACCUUGUCGAUUGACGUUACCCGCAGAAGAAGCACCGGCUAACUCCGUGCCAGCCGCCGCUGUAA
rnacentral:rRNA from 1 species